rnacentral:rRNA from 1 species
UACGGAGGGUGCGAGCGUUGUCCGGAAUCAUUGGGCGUAAAGGGCGCGUAGGUGGCCCGGUCAGUUCGUGGUGAAAGCGCGGGGCUCAACCCUGCGUCGGCCAUGAAUACUGCCGCGGCUGGAGCACUGUAGAGGCAGGCGGAAUUCCGGGGUGUAGCGGGUGGAAAUGCGUAGAGAUCGGGAAGAACAUCAGUGGCGAAGGCGGUGAGCUGGGCAGUUGCUGACACUGAGGCGCGACAGCGUGGGGAGCAAACAGG